rnacentral:rRNA from 1 species
UACGUAGGGGGCGAGCGUUGUCCGGAAUUACUGGGCGUAAAGCGCGUGUAGGCUGCCCCGCAAGUCGGAUGUGAAAGCCCUGGGCUCAACCUAGGAAAUGCAUUCGAAACUGCGGGGCUGGAGUCCUGGAGAGGAAGGCGGAAUUCUCGGUGUAGAGGUGAAAUUCGUAGAUAUCGAGAGGAACACCGGUGGCGAAGGCGGCCUUCUGGACAGUGACUGACGCUGAGACGCGAAAGCGUGGGGAGCAAACAGG